rnacentral:rRNA from 1 species
UACGGAGGGAGCAAGCGUUACUCGGAAUUAUUGGGCGUAAAGGGCGCGUAGGCGAUUUGAAAAGUCUUGUGUGAAAGCCCCGAGCUUAACUCGGGAAGUGCACAAGAAACUGUUGAAUUUGAGUUCCGGAGAGGAAGGCAGAAUUCCCGGUGUAGCGGUGAAAUGACGUAGAUAUCGGGAGGAAUACCAGUGGCGAAGGCGGCCUUCUGGACGGAUACUGACGCUGAGGCGCGAAAGCCAGGGGAGCAAAGCGGG